rnacentral:lncRNA from 1 species
GGUAUGAGUACCUGUAGGUACUGAAGAGAUGAUCCUGUGAAGUACGCUGAGCAGGCGGGGAAGUCAGACAAGGAAGAGGGAAAGUCAGUCAACUGUUGGACAGAAUAUGCGCCACCCACUCCCUCUCCUCCGUGGUCGAGGAUUCACAGGCCCGGUGUACGAGCACCAGGGUGCUAAGUCAGAGACUUGCUGAGUCACCCUGGCCACUUCGUCAUUCAGCGCUUGCUCUGUGCCAAAGGCUCCCCAGCGGGAAUGGACAUGGGACACAUGGCUAGGCUGAGGCAUGCACUGUGCCGUCACUGAGAGCAGUUUGGAUCGGGGAUCAGAGGUCAGAGGGAGCACCUCUCUUGCUGGCAGCAGGAAGAAGAGAGUGGUGGAUUCGCCUGGGAGAAGACGCGUGGGCUGCCACCACCGUGGAACUUCAGUACCAAUAACGGCAGAAAGACCUGGACUCGUUCUCCUGAGGCCCACCCAGCUGCAAGGUUGAACGGAUGCAACCUUGACAGAACUGAUCAGUAAAAGAAAUCUACCCAGAACCUAGAAAGAGGGGCUUACACCUCAAUUUUGAAAUUGUUCUUACAGAUCUUAAAAGACCUGGCCAUCAAGUAAAAGUGAUUGGUAGCAUAAUUUCUAGCAGAAAGGAGACUUAUGGUUCAUGAAGCUAAAAUCACGGAAGUUCAAAAUAGGAGAUUACCCGGACACAGGGAAAACUGCUCCAAAGCAGGCACCACCUCCUUCAGGGCACAUAAGACCAUUUAUCAGGCAUAGUGGCACAGACCAGCCGAACGCUCACAUUACCGCACUCCCGAGGGUGAACAGCCUCCUGUGCCCAUCACCCUCUCUGGGCCGCAGGCUGCCUCAGGCCACCCGUCCCCUGAGCAGUGACCACCCGGAAGGCACCUGCCUCUGCCGCCGCAGAUUCCCACCCCUCUGCAGUUCAGUGUGAGCGCGGAGCUGGUUGGGUUGGGAAUAGGGGAAGCCUCCCUUCCCGCAGCGUGUAGCGGGCAGCAUCGGAGAUGGGGGGAAGAAGGGGCGGCGGCCGGAGGUCCAAGGGAAGCAACGCCCUCCUUUGCGCUGCAUCGGUGGCCGCUCCAACCCUGGGUGUGGCCUUGUCGGGGCAGGUUUCUCCGGAGCUGCUGAACCCUGCCACUUUGAAAUAGGGGGAAGGGGACUCCUGCUGGCGUCCUCAGCACUUCAAGGGGCGAAAUGUUACUGAACAUACGAAUAAAAUUCCC